AUUGAACGCUGGCGGCAGGCCUAACACAUGCGAGUCGAACGGUAACAGGAAGAAGCUUGCUUCUUUGCUGACGAGUGGCGGACGGGUGAGUAAUGUCUGGGAAACUGCCUGAUGGAGGGGGAUAACUACUGGAAACGGUAGCUAAUACCGCAUAACGUCGCAAGACCAAAGAGGGGGACCUUCGGGCCUCUUGCCAUCGGAUGUGCCCAGAUGGGAUUAGCUAGUAGGUGGGGUAACGGCUCACCUAGGCGACGAUCCCUAGCUGGUCUGAGAGGAUGACCAGCCACACUGGAACCGAGACACGGUCCAGACUCCUACGGGAGGCAGCAGUGGGGAAUAUUGCACAAUGGGCGCAAGCCUGAUGCAGCCAUGCCGCGUGUAUGAAGAAGGCCUUCGGGUUGUAAAGUACUUUCAGCGGGGAAGAAGGGAGUAAAGUUAAUACCUUUGCUCAUUGACGUUACCCGCAGAAGAAGCACCGGCUAACUCCGUG
rnacentral:rRNA from 1 species